AGGGCUAGCGUCGGAAAAUGUGAGUACUGGGGGUAGAGCACUGAAUGGGCUAGGGGGCAUAGCGCUUACCGAACCUUAUCAAACUCCGAAUACCAGAUACUAUCAGUCCGGCAGUCAGACUGCGAAAGAUAAGUUCCGUAGUCAAAAGGGAAACAGCCCAGAUCGUCAGCUAAGGUCCCAAAGUGUAAGUUAAGUGGAAAAGGAUGUGGGAUUUCUAAGACAACUAGGAUGUUGGCUUAGAAGCAGCCACUCAUUAAAAGAGUGCGUAAUAGCUCACUAGUCAAGAGAUCCUGCGCCGAAAAUGUCCGGGGCUCAAACUUACCACCGAAGCUACGGGUUCACACAUUAGUGUGAGCGGUAGAGGAGCGUCGUAAUCGGGCUGAAGUCGUACCGUAAGGAGCGGUGGACUGAUUACGAGUGAGAAUGUUGGCAUUAGUAGCGAGAUGUGGGUGAGAAUCCCACAGGCCGAAUACCUAAGGUUUCCUCAGGAAGGUUCGUCCGCUGAGGGUUAGUCGGGACCUAAGCUGAGGCCGAAAGGCGUAAGCGAUGGACAAUCGGUUGAUAUUCCGAUACCACUAUUAUCGUUAUUAUCGAUGGUGUGACGGAGAAGGAUAGGAUGUGCUAGCUAUUGGAUGCUAGUCUAAGCGUUUAGGGAGUUAGGAUAGGCAAAUCCGUUCUAACAAUUCUGAGGCGUGAUGGGGAAGGUUCUAAGGAACCGAAGUAUCUGAUUCCAUGCUUCCAAGAAAAGCAUCUAGAAAGAGAAAUAGUGCCCGUACCGCAAACCGACACAGGUAGGUGAGGAGAGAAUCCUAAGGCCGGCGGAAGAAUUGCAGUUAAGGAACUAGGCAAAUUGACCCCGUAACUUCGGGAGAAGGGGUGCCUGCGAGAGCAGGCCGCAGAGAAUAGGCACAAGCAACUGUUUAACAAAAACACAGGUCUCUGCUAAAGCGAAAGCUGAUGUAUAGGGGCUGACGCCUGCCCGGUGCUGGAAGGUUAAGGGGAACACUUAGCGUAAGCGAAGGUGUGAACUUAAGCCCCAGUAAACGGCGGCCGUAACUAUAACGGUCCUAAGGUAGCGAAAUUCCUUGUCAGGUAAGUUCUGACCCGCACGAAUGGCGUAAUGACUUGUGCACUGUCUCAACUGCAAAUCCGGCGAAGUUGUAGUGCGAGUGAAGAUGCUCGCUACCCGCGAUUGGACGGAAAGACCCCGUAGAGCUUUACUGUAGCUUAGCAUUGAAUUUCGGUAUUGUCUGUACAGGAUAGGUGGGAGACUGGGAAAUCAGAGCGUCAGCUUUGAUGGAGUCAUCCUUGGGAUACCACCCUGAUAGUACUGGAAUUCUAACUGGAUGCCAUGAAUCUGGUGACAGGACAUUGUUAGGUGGGCAGUUUGACUGGGGCGGUCGCCUCCUAAAAAGUAACGGAGGCGCCCAAAGGUUCCCUCAGAACGGUCGGAAAUCGUUCGUAGAGUGCAAAGGCAUAAGGGAGCCUGACUGCGAGACCUACAAGUCGAGCAGGGACGAAAGUCGGGCUUAGUGAUCCGGUGGUACCUCGUGGGAGGGCCAUCGCUCAACGGAUAAAAGCUACCUCGGGGAUAACAGGCUGAUCUCCCCCAAGAGUUCACAUCGACGGGGAGGUUUGGCACCUCGAUGUCGGCUCGUCGCAUCCUGGGGCUGAAGUAGGUCCCAAGGGUUGGGCUGUUCGCCCAUUAAAGCGGCACGCGAGCUGGGUUCAGAACGUCGUGAGACAGUUCGGUCCCUAUCCGUCGCGGGCGCAGGAAAUUUGAGAAGAGCUGUCCUUAGUACGAGAGGACCGGGAUGGACCGACCUAUGGUGUACCAGUUGUUUCGCCAGAAGCAUAGCUGGGUAGCUAAGUCGGGACGGGAUAAACGCUGAAAGCAUCUAAGCGUGAAGCCUCCUUCAAGAUGAGAUUUCCCAUAGCGUAAGCUAGUAAGACCCCUUGA
rnacentral:rRNA from 1 species